rnacentral:pre_miRNA from 1 species
AGUACAAUUGUUGGGUUAUAUGGUGGUUGAUGUUUAGUUCUCUAAGAAAUUGUCAAACUGUUUUCCAGGAUGACUGUAUCAUUUUACAUUCCCACCAGCAAU